rnacentral:rRNA from 1 species
AUUGAACGCUGGCGGCAGGCCUAACACAUGCAAGUCGAGCGGUAGAGAGGUGCUUGCAUCUCUUGAGAGCGGCGGACGGGUGAGUAAUGCCUAGGAAUCUGCCUAGUGGUGGGGGAUAACGUUCGGAACGGACGCUAAUACCGCAUACGUCCUACGGAGAAAGACGGGGAGUCUUCGGACCUCGCGCCAUUAGAUGAGCCUAGGUCGGAUUAGCUAGUUGGUGAGGUAAUGGCUCACCAAGGCGACGAUCCGUAACUGGUCUGAGAGGAUGAUCAGUCACACUGGAACUGAGACACGGUUCCAGACUCCUACGGGAGGCAGCAGUGGGGAAUAUUGGACAAUGGGCGAAAGCCUGAUCCAGCCAUGCCGCGUGU